CAAGGCCAUGAGCUGAACGUGUGUGUGGCCUGUUAGACUGCCGUUACUGUCUUGGUCUGUCUUUGUAAGGGGUAAACGAAAGCUCACGUCUGACAUGCAAAGGUGUGACCCGUGCGUGGUGUGUCUCAUCCUAGGUACGUUCUGGACGAUCAGUAUACAAGUUCCUCUGGCGCCAAGUUCCCUGUGAAGUGGUGUCCCCCAGAAGUGUUUAAUUACAGCCGCUUUAGCAGCAAGUCAGAUGUCUGGUCGUUUGGUGUGCUAAUGUGGGAAAUAUUCACAGAAGGCAGGAUGCCCUUUGAGAAGAACACCAAUUACGAAGUGGUAACCAUGGUUACUCGUGGCCACCGCCUCCACCGGCCAAAGCUGGCUUCCAAAUAUUUGUAUGAGGUGAUGCUGAGAUGCUGGCAAGAGAGACCAGAGGGAAGGCCUUCCUUUGAAGACUUGCUGCGUACGAUAGAUGAACUAGUUGAAUGUGAAGAAACUUUUGGAAGAUGAAUGGUGACCCCAGUUUCCAAGGCAAGAGGAAGAAAUGGUGUGCCAUCGGAACACAAUUCUCUUGGCACCUGGGAGUAUAGACUGCUCUGCUUACAACACGGGAGCCCCAGCGCAUCUGCUGCUGAUCCAGUCUGAGCUCAGUGGCUGCUUUGCCGGCUGCACAGAUGGUCUCUCAGAGCUGGUGACUUGAAGCACUCAUUUUGCUCAUUUCUUCAAGGGUUUGAGUGCCAGCCAUGCAUCAGGCUCUGUGCCCAGGCCUCAGGAGAUGAACAUGGGACUAUACUAGCUGGUGCUAGCAGAAAGCCAGGGUGGUUGUGAUGGGGACAAAUCAUAUCCCAGCGUCUCUUCCAUGCCCUUUGGAUUUUACAUAAACCUGGGCCUGGAGUGUUGUCUACCACUGAGUUCUAGGAAAAGUAGGAACCCACCUGGAUACGUAGUAAUCCUCUGUUUUGGAAACAUCUCUUUCCAAACCUGUUCUUAGUAGUAUGCUUAAAAAUUUGUAUAUUGUAU